AAGAGUCACAUAGGGCCACCUCUGUAUUAUGGUCAAAGCAGCCUCAGCCUAUUAAGACUCAGACAAAGGGACUCAGAUCCCAGUCCUCAGUGGAAAGGAUAUGGAUGGAGCUGUCCUGUGCUUUAGCACUGCCACAUCUCAGAGCUUAGAAUGGCAGAGAGCAGACAGCAUGCAGAGGCAGAGGCACAGAUAUUGCAUUCAAAAGCAACCAGAAAGAACCAGAAGCUUCCUGAACCCCAGUCUGGCUGGGGAGACUAUGAUGCCUACUUCCUUCAGUUGGAAAGUUUCUACGACUAUGAAGACCCUGAAGUGAGGCAGAACACAGAUUAGAAAAAGGAGGAGACUCUGUAGUACAGCACUGGCAUGUCCAUUGAUAUGCCAUCUGAUAUGAACUAUGUCUUUCCCAUGUGAGUGUGAAGGAUUCUGUGUUGACCACUGGAUUACAUUUCUGUUUAGCCUAUUCAUAUCAUUCAUUUCUUGUUGGUUUCUUUGUUGGAGUGAAUUUGAAGAAAAUCUCCCCCACAUGGGCUCCCAUUCUUGUGCAUGUGACUUUUGAGGGCCAAAAGCAGCCAAACCUGGAAGGACUUGAGAUUCCAAACUCCCCAUGGUGCCUGCCAAUCUAAAGUGAGAGAAAGUGGACAAGAGAGAGGACAGAACAGAUGGUGGGGAUGUCUCUUUUUGCCCUCCCAGGCAUCUGUGCAUCACUUGGUGAGGAGGGAUAGAUCAAAUCGGUGUUUUCUAAGCUCUUCAGCUGCCUUGGGAAGGAUGGCCUGGAAAAGAAAGUGGAAAGAAGGAGGAGUCCUGGAGACCCGGAAUGAGAGAAUUUGGAGAAGUUGCUAGAAGCUCUGGGACAGUUGUGCCCAAGGAGGGGAGAAGAGGAAGACAGGACCCAUGGAGCUCCCCCAAGCCUGAAACAGAAAAAGGAGUUAAGUUGGGCAGAGAGAGGAGAAGCAGUACUGAAAAUCACCCACUCCAGGAACCUGGGCUUCAGGCACUGUCACCUUGGGCACUGGGGGUUGGGCAGUGGUAGAAACUGGGUCUGUGCCUUCUGUGCCCAUAUCAUGCAUGGUGACUGAGGAAGCUGCUGGAGAAAGCCAAAUAGGGUCACCAAACUCUGCAAAAUAGAAGAACCACCUUCCUUCCUUCUCCCCUGCAGCUAUAUAUCUGAUAUAUCUGCUCCACAUGUCUAUAUUCUGAAAUGGAAA